GCCAUCUAGCUCAGUUGGUGGAGCACAAGGUUUUGAACCAUGAGGUUGGGGGUUCGAGCCCUACACUCA
rnacentral:tRNA from 7 species